rnacentral:rRNA from 1 species
GAUGAACGCUGGCGGCGUGCCUAAUACAUGCAAGUCGAGCGAACAGACGAGGAGCUAGCUCCUCUGACGUUAGCGGCGGACGGGUGAGUAACACGUGGAUAACCUACCUAUAAGACUGGGAUAACUUCGGGAAACCGGAGCUAAUACCGGAUAAUAUAUUGAACCGCAUGGUUCAAUAGUGAAAGACGGUUUUGCUGUCACUUAUAGAUGGAUCCGCGCCGCAUUAGCUAGUUGGUAAGGUAACGGCUUACCAAGGCGACGAUGCGUAGCCGACCUGAGAGGGUGAUCGGCCACACUGGAACUGAGACACGGUCCAGACUCCUACGGGAGGCAGCAGUAGGGAAUCUUCCGCAACGGGCGAAAGCCUGACGGAGCAACGCCGCGUGAGUGAUGAAGGUCUUCGGAUCGUAAAACUCUGUUAUUAGGGAAGAACAAAUGUGUAAGUAACUAUGCACGUCUUGACGGUACCUAAUCAGAAAGCCACGGCUAACUACGUG